GCAUCAGUGGUUUAGUGGUAAAUCCAUCGUUGCCAUCGAUGGGCCCCGUGUUCGAUUCACGGCUGAUGCA
rnacentral:tRNA from 1 species